AUUUGUUAAAAUUGACAAACAUAUAACAAUAUUAGUUUAUUACCAAAUAUUGGUCAUAGAUAGAGAUUUUGACAACAUCAUAUUUAGCCAAU
rnacentral:miRNA from 1 species